rnacentral:lncRNA from 1 species
AGUUUGUCGUUUCCUAUGGACAGUGAUUCUGAAGUGAAGCCAUUCCAGCAGACUGUGCACAGACAAAAACACUAGGCCCGAAAUGUCAUACAGAAAUCACUGUUGCACUCUCUGGUGGAGUAUUAUAAUUGUCAGACACUAGGAAAGUAGACAUCAAUCAGCACAUCCAUGCCAUAUAUUAGAGUGAAUGGAUGGAGCAGUUACACUAGGCGUUGGUGUGGAGAGAAGUAUUUUAGCUGUUGUCAAAUCAACAUUGCACUUGCAGAGCUCUGGAGGAGAAAGGCACAGUCCCGGCAGCAGGAAUUGCAGCUGCUCUUCAGCAGUCAGCGCUGGCAGCGGCAGGGCCUCAGGCACAAAUGUGCGGUGCUGCAUCCCCCUGAUGCCAAACACCCAGCUUUCUACUCAGUUGGUGCCACUUGUCAUGAAAAUAAUCUUGACUGCUGCUCUUUUCAUCCUUGUCAUCACUUUUUAUUGAUUCCUGUACUGAAGGGCUGCUUUGUCUUCCAGGAGGAGAUGUGAAUUACACCUGCCCCACCACAGCCACUGCGCAGUCACUGUGGCUGCCGGGAGAAGACCCGAAGGAGCAGCGAAGCUAUGGGUGGUGAUCAGAAGGUGCUGCAGAAAUUACUGCUGCCUAUCUAUCUCUUCCAUGGCAGCAGAGGGCUAAGUGGCCAUGCAUAGUGUACGUACGUACUUUUUUUUUUUUUUUUUUUUUUUCCUUCCCAUGAUUUAUGGCCCUGAGUAGUAUGAGAAGUUGGGAAAAAAGAGAUGAAAAAAGUAGAAAGAACUUUUAGACUCUUACAAGCCUGGAGCCUU